UCCUCUAAUUUCAUCUUUUCAUUCCUGUUUACUCACCCACACUCCCCUCAUUAAUGAGAGAUUUUCCAGUCUAUGCUAAUUGGUUUCAAUAACAUUCAUUUUAGUUGAAAGGGAACGAUUCUGUUAAUUGAGGAGCGGAGGGGGGGGGAGAAAAAAAGGCUUCUUUUCAUUUUCGAGUGCGUCCGCGAGACGACGCUUUUGAAAAAGCGCUCAACAGGUUCGCGGCUAAUGAAAUUAAGUGACGCCGGCCGUAGCAAAAAGGAAAGCCCCAAAUUAAAAUGAGGGAAGGAUGCGUCGUCAAAUGGCCUGCCUGAAUGACGCGAAGUAGGAUGAGGGUGCUAAACUCGUCAUCCCCAUCCAUGGGCUAGCUGUGAAGGCAUCUAGAGACCCCUUGGAAAUGGAGGAUGAGGAAUAGAAUGCCAGACGCUGAAGCAGAGUGGAAGGACAGAACAUUGAAAAGAAAAGGGAAGGCACUAGAGUAGAAUAUUAUACCUUUAG